AAAAAGGCAAACCCUGAAUUUUCGUGUACAACUUUAAUUGUCCGUCUUAUAUAAAUUUGUUUAUAAUUCGUAUUUUUAUUAGAUGAUAAAACAUGAUUAAUACUUUGUGCGUGACUUGUCUUUUUUAUUUUUUUUCAUAAUUUUUUUAAAUAAAACGGACGGUCAAACGUUGAAUAC
rfam:Oryza glaberrima chromosome 2 Oglab02_0303_8, whole genome shotgun sequence.